AUGAGUGUUUAAUUAAAAUGUGGGCAACCCAUUUUAAAACCUCUCAACCGAUGAAUAAUAAUUUAUUUGUUUGCUUUGGCAAGACCGAGAAUUCAUUUUCUGUUUGGGGAUUGAAUCAAUCACUGAAUAGUGUCUGCCAGUAGCCCCCAUUAAAAAUUCUUCAACUAAAUUUGUCUGAGUGUGAUUUAUUUAAUAAUUAAAUUA
rnacentral:misc_RNA from 1 species